rnacentral:pre_miRNA from 1 species
AUGUAGGGCAAUCUGUCUUUUAGAAGGGAUAAUUACUCUUGAACAAAAUGAUCCUAGAUAGUUUCACCUUCAAGUCAAGCAUUUAGU